GACUCAGUGGUAGAGUGCUUGCCUUGCAUGCAUGAGGCCCUGGGUUCGAUUCCCCAG
rnacentral:tRNA from 1 species